rnacentral:lncRNA from 1 species
GGGGGACUGCAAAAGCGGCGCGUGGAGCCUAUGGAGACCGUGCGUCGCUGGUGGCAGAGAUGAGGAGCAACCAGCAAAUGGGAUUGUGAGAGUGGCGUGUGAGGUAGGAGAAAGAAGAGAAUCGAAUCUAGGAAGAGACAGGUUUUGCCAUGUUGGUCAGACUGGUUUCGAACUCCCGGCCUCAAGCGAUCCUCUCACCUUGGCCUACCAAAGUGCUGGGAUUACAGGCGUGAGCCACUGUGCCUGGCCUGGGACAUGGAUGGAGCUGGAAACCAUUAUCCUCAGCAAACUAAUGC